CUUGUGGUAGAAGCAAGUGCGCUUCUUUCCUCCCGUCUUGAAGCGGCGAAGGAAGGGGCGGGCCUGGUCCUUGCAUCUCAGGGGCUGAGGCUUAGCGGCCUCCCCUUUCCUCCCUUUGGUGGCGCGCGCACCCGGGCGCACCACACACACACGCACAUACAGAGGAGCCACGCGCGUGGCAGCGCCUCGGCCGCGAGGCUGUGCUGCCACUCCAGGGACGCCGCACACGGAGCGCACGCUGCUGCUGCUACUGCUGCUACUGCUGUUUCUGCUGUUUGUGCUGCGGCUGCUGCACGCUCGCCUUCCCGGCCCUGGAAUUAGCAUCCUCUCGUCCUUCUCCUCUUCCUCCUCCUCCGGCGUUUGGACUCAACCGACAAGCCUCCCACAGAAAGCCGGAGGACCACAUGAUUUAGACAUAUAUCCUAUCAAUUAUCUUCAUGGAAACAAGCAAGGAGACAAUGAUGCUUCAGCCAUCUGUUUAAGCUUGGUGAAGAAGAGGUCUGCGGUGAAAACAUCAUGAAAAGUAAUGUAUCUUCAACAGAUGGUCAGAGAUUCUUCUUCUUGUUGGUUGUUAUCUGUACUUGUAACAACAAAUUUAUUCUACACUCAAAAUCUGCAUAUAUUGUUUGUAUUGACAUUUUGAGGAGCAUGGAGAAUAACAGCUCUGAAUGGUAAUCCUCUAUAGACUCAAGUGGACUAUUUCUAAAGUACCCAGAAUUUUCUAGGUCUUUUUGUUUUAAUUGUAGCUGAAUAGUCACAGGGUUACAUCUAGUUCUUUCUUGAAAUUUGCUAGGUUUCUAUCCCUCCCAUUUGUCUGCCCCCCCCUCCCAUUAAUCAUGUGUCACAUUUAAUCCCAUGCAACUGAUUUUCACCCAUUUCCUUGGAGUCUUUAAAUGAAACUAGACCUAUGGUCAAAGUAUUAAACUGCUCUAAGAAUAUUAUACUAAGUAAUCAUUAGAGUAACAAUUAGAUAUCCUGGAGAUGGGACCCAAAAUUCAAAACAAAUUUGGUCCCAAGCUUUUCAGAAACUCGACUUGUAGGGAGAAGUGACAUUUUUCUAAACAUUUUAUUUUGCUUUGAUCCCCCGCCCCCGUGUUUCAAUUUAUGCCGACCUCUAAUUUAUAUAAAAGUAUAGCUUUAACUUUUAGUAAUUUAUAAUAGGGCAGGUCUAGUGCUCUUGCAGUGCCUCAAAGGGAAUAUUUAAUGAAGAUAUUUUCAGCAUUUCAUUUGGCUACUGUGUGGUAAACCUGUAUGUUAAUGAUACAAACAUGCAUUUCGGUCAUUAAACAACAGAAGAAAAUUGUGAGGGAAUCUCCAGUAAACACAAGUAAAAUUACAUGAGAAAGAAGACACUUGUACAUUUUACUCGUUGACUAUUUUGAAAGUGAAAUUAUCAUACAAAGCUAAUAUAUUUUUACUUUUUCCCAAUGAAAAAUAAUAUUGGGAGUAUCAAUGGAACAUUUGAUAUGAAUUUUGGAUUUCUAAAAGGCAAGAUAAUGGUUUACCGCCUUGUGCCUCUGUUUGUAAAUUGUACUUGUUUACACUGGGAAGCCUGAACUCAGUUGUAUGGAAUAAGUGAAAUGUUUCAAUAGGCAAGAAACAAACAAAAUAAUAUCCAAACAUCCUUUGCUUUUAAAGUGGAAUUUUAGAGGCUUUCUAGGUUAAAAGAAAAAUAUUUUUUAAUUACCCUGGCCUCCUGAGACAUGUUGUGUCAUGACUCUAUUUUGAACUCCAUGCUAGUCUCCAACUAUGUCUUGUCUCAGAUAUAUCAUGUUAGUUCAAUAUUUUGAAUAGCCCAGGGCACUAAAUUAAUGUUCACUACCAAUCUUACAUAUUUUAGUAAUCUAAAAAAAGGGCAAAAUAUUUAUCCCUUUCUUUGCAGUAUAGUGUCUUAAAACCUGUGUAACCUGAAAUAAUUAAUGUACAGUUAAGUGCUUGUGGCAUUACUUUGUUUGGCACUUAAAGGACUUUUUGCUUACCAAAUCAUUAAAUACAGCCCCUUUAAAAAAAGAAAUAGUUACUGAAGUUUGUUAAAUUUAGUGUACCAGAAUAUGGUACAAAGGAUAAUACCCACUCCUCAUGUAUCCAUGUAACAUAUCAGCAUGAGAUAUAGAAGUCUCAACAGAAGUUUUCUCAGUAAGAUCAGGACCUUAAAGCAAAUGCUUAUUUUUGCUUGCUGCAUUGCCUGCAGCAUCUUCUUAGACUACUGGCUCUCAACCUGUGGGUCCCCAGAUGUUUUGGCCUUCAACUCCCAGAAAUCCUAACUGCUGGUAUACUGGCUGGGAUUUCUGGGAGCUUUAGGCCAAAACACCUGGGGACCCACAGGUUGAGAACCACUGUCUUAGAACAACUGCUGUUUCUUUUUAGUAUCCAUAUGUGUACAAGCUAUGCAGUGGGAAAGCAAUGAGCAUGAGUAGCGUAAAAGAGACAACACAGAAAAUCUAGGUUGUUUCUCAUAACUUUGAAUUUCUGAUCAUAUACAUCACAAUGAUACGGUUCUUUCAUAUCAUGAUAUGUAAUAUUUGCCGUAUAGUAUCCAUAUUUGUAUGCUUGGACCUUUUUACCCUUGAGGGUAUAAUUUGUACUUCUACAAAGAAACACAUUUCAUUAGAAAAAAUGAGUAUUACCGUUAAGAUCCAGAUCAUUGCAUAGUUUCCAUUCCUUACACGCUGACACAUAUGUAAGUGGUCUACCUACAUGAGGCUCUGUUUCAGAGUUGCAUCCUAUGAGCUCAAUGAGAUUGAGCCUCAACUACACAUACCACUUAAUCCAUGGUGAAUUUGGAGCAGAAAUGCUUUGGAAUGGUCCCAGAAGCAGCCACACAUUUUGGCCACAACACGGUGCUACUGUCCACACUUGGCCAGACCAGUAGGCCAGACAUUGCAUCUUUGUAUCACAAUCAGAAAAUAUGAGUCCACCAAGUGCAUUACAGUAUUUUGAGGACAACAUAAAAAAUUUAAAACUACGAAUUUGAUCUUACCCAAUACAAUAUUUUAAACACUAAAACCAUAUAAAUUAUGUACUGGAAUAUGUUGCUGUUAAGUAGUUCACCUUAGGGUUUUAUCAUUGCCUUAUGGACCCAAAAUUAUCCUUUCCUGCUCCCAUUUUCAAGAUAGUGGCAUUACAUUAUUUUCAAUCAAGGCAUUCUGAUCCUUUGUACUAAAUUGUUUUUAAUUCAGGUGUUCUUAACCUUUGUUUAGGCAAUUGCAUUUCUUCAUAAAUCACACACAAGCUGAGUUUUGAUCUCACAGUAAGCUGCAGUUUUCAUUACGAUGGGGUUAGCAAUGCAUAUCCCUGUCUUGCUUUUAAAGGAAAAAAAAGACAUUCAACAUUUUUUUUAAAUUUUUCACUCUUUAUGUUUGACAAAACAUCUGCCCUUUUACUGUAGCUGUUCAGCCAUGGGCUAUAAUUUCCCAGCUUUGAGAGUCUUCUAUUAAGACUGAUUGGAUGUUAUUCUGUAAUCAACAUGAGCUGUUUUUAUAUUUCCCACUGCUUCUGUACUUAGUCCUAGUUUUCUUUCUAGCAUUUUUAAAAACACACUUUCCUUUUUUAUUAGUUUUCUUCCGAAUAGUUCUGCAAAGUUAAUAUAGUCUUAAUUUAAUAUAGCUCUAGUUACUAACAGAUUAUGAUAGCAUGUUAAAAUUUCUGCAACAUUCCUUUUGUCAUCAGUAUAUUCAUAGGUACCUAAAGAGCUUGAAAUAUAGUGACCCCUUGAACUCUUAUUGUUCUUAUUGUCAUCCUUAAGUACAAGUACACAUUGAAAUCAAUGCAGUUAGAAUUACCUGUUCUUUCUAAAAUGCACAAUAUAGUUUUGUGGCUGAAUGUUUGGUGAGAAACAUGGAGGUAGAAAUAAUGGGCGUGAAAAGGAAGGAUUUCAAAAGUGCAGCAGAAUAUACUUCCACAGAUAUUUAUAGAAUGACACAAUUACAUCCAGUGCUUAGAUCUAUCAGUAAUCUGAAAACAAGAAUAGCUUCAUGAAGGUCUCAACUGGAAGAGGAUCAGUACAUUGACUUUGUAUUUAAAGCAAGCAGUUCUCUUCAUGCCAUGUCUAGAGUAUAAGCCAAGAAGGGAUUUUUGCAGCUCAUGUGGGUAGAAAUCUGACUUACCAAAAGCAUUAUCUUAGGAGGGCACUUUCAUAACCAUUGCAAAUUGACCUUUUUGGCAGACAUCAUUAGCAUUUUCUUUUCAGUAUUUGGCUUUAAAAAUUACUUGUGGUGUGUUACGUUCAUGUUGAAGAAUAUAAUAAAAAUUGAGGAGGAAAAUGCACAUCAUUGUAUAACUGAGCAAUGUAAUCUGAAAGUGUCACUUUGAAUUCUUUACUCAUUUGACUGGAUUUUAAAUUUUGUGCAAAUAGNNNNNNNNNNNNNNNNNNNNNNNNNNNNNNNNNNNNNNNNNNNNNNNNNNNNNNNNNNNNNNNNNNNNNNNNNNNNNNNNNNNNNNNNNNNNNNNNNNNNCAUUUUUGAAAAUAAACAGUUGAAGUUCACAAAUGUAAUUAGAGUGCCAAUCCAUUUUAGCUGGGAAUGUUAAGAAGUUUUAUAAUUGGCUCUCUGUCAGCUCAUUGCUCUCCUAAUGGGAUAAGGCCCUUCCCUAGUAUUGGCUGCAAAUUGAUAGCAACAGAUAUUUCUUGUGACUAUAAAAAGAGAAAUAUGCUACAAUAUAUUUAUUUAUAGUGGAAGAUCUCUAUCCUCUCCUCCUUAAUACAAUACUCAUAAAGUAAAAUGCAAUAAAGGUAGCUACCACAAUAAUGAUAAAACAUUUAUGCUCAAGAAAACACACAAGCAAAAGAAGAGAAGUAUUUCCUGGUUUUAGAAGCAUGCACAUCUCAGUGACUUCUUGUUGUUUAUUCAUUCAGCCACUUCCAACUCUUUGUGACCUCAUGGACCAGACCACACCAGAGCGCCUACAUUGUCCACUUUCUGUAGGGACCUGAAGACCUGGCUGUUCAAACAAGCUUUUGAGAACAUCUAGGUCCCA
ensembl:lncRNA